rnacentral:lncRNA from 1 species
GGGUAAAAUGUGGGAGCAGAAGGCAACUUCGCGUGACAGCAAACAGAGAUGCUGAAUCACAGGGCAUCCCCUUUCAGCACUGGGGAGUGGUGAGGAAUUGCAGAGGCUGUGCCGGGUAGAUGGCAAACUUUCUGGCACGCUGCAAAGUCUCAACACGCUGGGUUGUGCCUAGGCAGAAACCCUAGCUGGAAAGCAAGGCUGCAGAACCACUUGUUUCUAGGAGACUUGGAGUCAUGUAAUCCAGAAGAAAAAUUGUCCAACUGUAUUUUCAAGGCUAAUAUUGUAUAGCACAGUAAUUUGUAAGCGUUCAUUUACUCAACAAUUGUCUGAUCUGUUAUUUCCAUGCUUUUUCCUUAGGUAAAUAUACUUCCUUGCAUUUUUGCACCUCAAAUCAGUUCUUCUCAAUUUUGAUUCUCCUGCUUCUACAAGAGAGGUUAUAAAAUGGAUGCAAGCAUCGCCCCUGAGAUGAUAUUCCUCUACUGCUCAGGGCUGUAAGCUGGCAUUUAUGGGACAAUAGGUCCCAGAUUUUAUGUUGGGUAACUCAAGAGUGAGUUUUGAGAGGUGUCCCCAUGCCUCUGCACAAGCAGUGACAACCAGUCCCAUCUGUAGGUACCAGUACAGAGAUGUUCUGCAGGGUGAGGCUGCAGAGCCUUUGCAGAGACGCUGUUACUGAUAGCAGGUGGGAAAAACAAGGCUGCAGGUGGGAGGAAUAGGGCUCGGAUUGGGGUGCUUUGCUAUAAAUCACAGCAAGGGAGAGGUGAAAGCUUUUGUCUCUCUGCUCAUCAGUGGCCUUCCCCAGCCUCUGUCCUCCCUUUGCAAAAAUCCCUGGAGGUCCUAAGAGGAAACCAUCCCAGUGCACCUUUUACACAGCAGCGACGGGGUUCUGCUCCGUCUGGCUGGGUGGAUAAUGGCCAUAUUCACCAGUGCAUUUUUCCAGCAGAUCUGACAGCUAAUCUAAGGAAUGACGCUGCAGUAAGAGGCUUCAGAUAAAUGGAAAGAAAGAAAAAGAGAACAGGAAAUCUCACCGAGCCCAGGGGAGCCCCCACUGCCUGCUUUUCUCCAGGAGGUGUGGAGCAGAUUGGGGUGUUGGUC